CUUGCCAAUAGUGCAUACAUUUAACACAAAUGUUUUAAGUAAAACAACCACAAAAAAAUUAACAAGUGUACCAUAUCAAAGAUUGAUUAAUAAAACUAACACAGAAGCUUUUAAAAAGGAAAUUAAAAAUUUUUCCUGGGAUAAUAUAUUAAGUGAAACAAAUGACCCAGUAAAGGCCUACAAUGAAUUUUUGGAAACGUUUGGGGAUGUAUAUGAAGUGAAUUUCCCACUGAAAAGAAAACAAAACAAUG